UACGUAGGGUGCAAGCGUUGUCCGGAAUUAUUGGGCGUAAAGAGCUCGUAGGCGGUCUGUCGCGGCGGCUGUGAAAACCCGGAGCUCAACUCCGGGCCUGCAGUCGAUACGGGCAGACUGGAGUUCGGCAGGGGAGACUGGAAUUCCUGGUGUAGCGGUGAAAUGCGCAGAUAUCAGGAGGAACACCGGUGGCGAAGGCGGGUCUCUGGGCCGAGACUGACGCUGAGGAGCGAAAGCGUGGGGAGCGAGCAGG
rnacentral:rRNA from 1 species